CCAAUUCAACCCCUAGCCUGGUAACUUCCAUAUGCUGUGGGUGUGGCUCUAAAAAGAAAAAAAAAAUUAUGUGAUGCAUCUGAAGUUGCUUUGCAGUUCAGACACUGCUUUUCUAUCCCAUUCCUAUGACUAUCUCUGACCUUGGUGGCCUUCUUUGUAUUUUAAAGUGACAUUAUACUUUUAUCAUUUUUACUCAGACUUAUAUAGAUUGCACAUUAAAGUCUCUGUCUAAUGUUUCUUCAGUUCCUUUCUGACCCCUGCCUUGCAGCUCCAGUGUUUUCCCCAGAACGGAGGACACUUUCAAAGGAAAUCUCUUGAGAAAUCCUCCUUCUUCCCUUAGAAUUUCUGAUGCUGGAGAGAUCUGAGAGUUCUCGGGAAAUGUUUAAAGUCACCAGCCAAGACUGGAGCAUGCAGGAUCUUGAUAACCCUCUUGGCAGUAGGCACCACAGCCGUCAUGGCUUACCUCGAUGCCAUGCCCUGUAUGCCACUGUCACCAGCCUUCCUCUGGGGAUCUUUUCACCAGACUGAAGAAGACAGCACCUACACAAAGACUGGUGUCAGUGCUGGAAAGCUGGAAAAGCUGCUUUGAAGGUGGUACUAAUAGGCGCUGGCUCCAGAUUUUGUUGAGAUGAUCAAGAGGAAGCCUAAUCCAAUGCCUCAUAUUGCUUUGGGAUUCCUUAUCCAAGGAGAUCCUUGGAGAGCUCCCAGAUGUGGCCGUCUGAAGAGUGUCACAUUGUCUACAGUUGUACCUGCCAGAGUGAGCCUUCCUCAGAGGGAGGACUAGCACUGGGAAGCGACGCCCCAAGAACUGUGGACCUGAGCCCUUGAGAAAGGAGCAAAGGGUAUCCCUGCGAAAGGCCUGGAGUGAAUUACAAAACCUUAGCUUGUAAAACUCCCACAUUCUCCUCCUUUUGCUGAGUUGAUGCUGAAAUACAAGAAAAAAUUGAACAGUGUGACCUAUUUCUUAUACUCUUAUUUCUAAACAGCCAACAUUUAUUAAUGAGUAAAGUGACAUUCUGUGUUAAAAUUGAAUUCUGUAUUGUUCCAUGUUACUCAUUUUAAAAGCAAACAUUUUCUACUGAUUCUUCUUUGUCAGACUCAAAGAAUGGCUUGCUGCCUUUGAUCCUCAAUUGAUAUUUCAGAUAGUAGACCUCUGCUGUAAAGGGGCCUAGAAAUUCACAUUUUCUAGAUCAUGUGUGCCCCACUCUACAAAAUUCUGCUUCAUGAGUAGAAUCUGUAUCAGAGGCUUUCAGAGACUCAGUAUUACUCUGUGGGUCAGCCAAACACAAGGGGAGAGUCUUGGCCAGGUAACCCUUAUAAUGGGAAGGCAGCUGCUAAACAAGCAUUGAAGGCCUGUUCUCUUCAGGUGCCCUGCACUCUCUUAUGUGAACCAAUCCAUGGCCCAUGAAUCACAGUGUUUGGAUUUCACCCUGGAACUCUUGACCACAUCUAGUUAGAUGGUCUUGAACUUUGGAUAGAAACCCUUGUCCACCCAACCACUUCUCCUCGUCAAACGAUGUGCUAAUCUCUCUUGAGAACUCCCAUCCCUGUUCUGUCUCCAUUCCAAUAAUUGAUUGGGAAUAGUGGGAGUAGGGAAAGGAAAAAUAAUAGUCUAGUCAUUCUCUUUUGUGGGCUGAGCCUAGAGCUCCCUUACCAGACUAAUGUCUCUCUUUUUGUCAAACAUUGGUAAUUAUGUGCACUGCUGGAUGCAUUAACAAGGCAGAAAGGUGACCCAACUUUGUACAAAAGUGAAAGAUGGAACCAAUGCCUCAGGACUCACUAAAAUGCUGACACAACUAGCCAGAGUUCUCCGUGAUCUAAAAUGCACUAGUACCUCAGGAAGCUGAGCAGAGAAUACCCAUUCUAGUCUGGAGUUCUAGACCUGUGUCACAGAGCUAUGGAACAGUCACAACGCUUUCUGGAGUGUGGGGAGGGGAAAAAUUAGGGAGGUGAGUCCAAUCCCUUUACCCACCAUCUAGCAGAUCCCAACAUGGCUCCUAGACCCCACCUGGUUUUUCCAUAUUCUACUAACAAAUUUUCUGCGUAUCAUAUAUAUACAGUACAUUUUAUAUGUGUAUAUAUAUGGCAUAAGUAAUGAGGUAUGUAUUUGCACACUUUUAUGCCUUUUGUGUAUAUUUACUCAUUUAGUCCUCAUUAUAAUCCUGUGAUCUAAGUACAAUUAUUGUCCCCGUAUUAAAUAUGAGGAAACUAAGGAGCGUAGAAGGUUACACUGAUAGUAAAUAGCAAAGCCAGUAUCCAAGCUGGGAGCUCUGGCUCCAGUGACAUCCUUUGCCAUAAAACUGUGCUGUGUAGAGUGUCAUGGCAAUCUGGAUCGAGAAUCUAAAUCAAUGCAAUUGGACAUUUGAGAAAAUACUGCUUACCUCCUUUUAGCACAUUGUAUGUGAUUUCAAACAUACUCUUAAUAUCCUUUCACUUGGAGUUCAGAACAUUGUGGGAAGGCAUGAGAUUCUCAGAGGAGGGACUUACCUGAGGGUCACAAAUUUCAAAGAGCAGAGACAGAUUUGAGCCCACAACAGAUUAGGGUGCGUUAAUUUCUUCUGCAUUUCCCAGAAGACAGGAGCUAUCUGAGGCCACGAGAGGUUAAAUGAGUAGCAGUGCCCUGUCUGCAGGCGCUCCAGGUCAACAUUCUACAUGUGGUUGUUGCUAAACUUGGAUAAAGUCCUAGUUAGUCCUUAUCUCUGUAUUGAAUGUUUAGGUGACACCUGACUGUCCAGAUUUCCUCAGAGAGUCUGGGUUCUUGACAACUCAUGCAGGUCCAGGCAGAUGCUACUAGAAGAUGAGAAUUAGGGAGAUGAAUGAACCGGAUGGUGAACAGGGCAGAGGCUCUCUGUGAAUUUGGGAAUCUGGUGACUUCCUUACAGCCCUCAGUAAACUUUGGAAAAGAUUGAACAGCAUCCACCUUGUGCUACGGGGCUUAAGGGUUUCCAUGAGCACAACUGGGUUCAAAUCCUAACUCUGCAGGUCACUUAAUGUACACCCUGGAUGGAUCAUUCUAUCUCUCAGGACCUUGCUUUCUUCAUUGGUAAAAUAGUAUUGACAGUUUUAUUGAAUAUGAUCAUCCAUUAUUUACCUUAUAUAUGGGACAAAAGUUGCCAUCUGUACAUUUAAUUUUCUUUCCUCUAUGUCCUUUCUUUGUCAAACUCUUCCCUUGAUACUGAU